rnacentral:lncRNA from 1 species
CAAGAGCCUUUGCAGAACAUGAUAGCUUCUUCUGACUUGAUACCCUAUGUGUUCUGGUUAAAUUCCUUAAUUGCCAGUCAUCAAGAGCUCGCGGAAUCUGACUCAAAGAAUAUUCAAGAGCAGCUGUUGCAAAAAGUCUUAGAUUCACUCUAGGGCUGCAUGGCCUUUGAUUGCAUGAACGUCGGUUGCAUGACCGUCGGCUGCAGGAUUGCUUGCAUUUUGCGCAGCUCAUACCUGUUGCACAAGGUGAGAUAGAACACAAACACCAUAUACGCGCCUUCAAAAAUGCCCCUCAAGCCAGCCUGUCACUGCCUCCCUUCACAUGUCAACUCCAGCUGUUGCUCACAGCAGAGGUUGCUCACAGCAGCGCCUGCUGUUCUUGGACGAUGGCAAUCCCAAUUCUCAUGGAAGACUUAAAUUCUACCUCAGCCUUCUUCAAGAAGUGCUAGCAGCGCAAUUCCAAAUGGGCCUCAAGGGUGCGUGUGCGCAUGACCCAGGCCUGACUCCUUGGCAGGACGCGGCCAAACAGCAGCUGCCGGCAAGUUUAGUAGGACAACAGUUUGACUUGAACAUGACUAGUCAAAGCCACUCGAUUCCUUUGCAGCUGAGAAAGUGCCCACCUACCUUCUGGAACAUCCUGAGGGGGCGCUGCCGGCACAGGUUGAUUGGGGGAUGAGGCUUGCGCUAGCAGACUGUCAGGAAAGAGCCCGGGUCCACCUGCCAACAAAGGUAUUAGCGAAAAGAGUAAGCGUGUGAGCUGCGGAUAAUGUACUAACAUCUAGUCAGCUGAAAGUAUGCGCUGGCUAUUGAUGAUGGCCCCUACCUUUGCCGUAAUAUGGAGCUGUGCCAUUAUAGAAGCUUGGUUGAGGUACUAUGUGCACAAAAACUCCAGAAGCCUGCUGUCAGCUAAUCUUCAUCAAACAUAGUUGUUUGAGUAUCAGACGAAGAUGUAGGCUUGCCUGCAGGAGGAAUACUCCCAAUGAAGGCGUCCGACGGCUCAGGACGCAGUGCGGCCUCCAGUGCCAACAGCUUCUGUGCGGAUUGUAAAUCACCU